UCUUUGUGAAAAAUAUUCUAAAUUUGUAUAAAACAUUUAAAUUUGGAAAAAAAAACUUGCCACUAUAAAUAAGGGAUAUCUGCGCCAGCUGAAACCCAAACCAUUCAGAACCUUUUGAUAACAAGAAUUCAAGCUACGCAAGAAAGAAUGUAAAAUGGUAGUACGAACGUGCUGAAGCCGAUGGACUCUGAGCAACUGAGGGAGUAUGGAUAUCGAAUGGCUGAUUUCAUUGCUGAUUACUACAAAGCAUUGAAUAGACAAGGCUUACAAAGUUUGUUUGAUUUGGUAUAAUCAUCUAAAAUAAAAUAAAGUUACCACAGCCGGACUUGUGAACUUUCGGUAGACAAUAUGUUUGUUGCCAUUGGUCACACAUAGUUAACCACAACAAAACCAAACCAAACCAAAUACAUACAAUUGGGAAAAGGAGAUAAAAUACACACAUUUGAGGAAUAAAAAAACAAAGUACACACAAUCACACGACAUUACCUUACCGAAAGUUCACUUGUCGGGCUGUGGUAACUUUAUUUAAUUUUAGAUGAUUAUACCAAACCAAACCAAACCAAACCUUGUAAGCCUUGUCUAUUCGAUGGUUUUGUAAUAAUCAGCAAUUAAAUCAACCAUUCGAUAUCAAUACUCCCUCAGUUGCUCAGAGUCCAUCGGGUGCGGGUGCGGGUGCGGGUGCGGGUGCGGGUGCGGGUCUGAGUGAUUUUAACGCGGGACGGGUGCGGGUCGAGUGAUUUUAACGCGACUUGUAAGCAUAUAUAAAAAGAAAUAUAUUAAACUGAUUUAUCAAAUAUUUUAUCGUAACUCAAACAUGUAAGUUAAUUAGUUUGUACUACCAGUGUUGUCGACGUUAUGUUUUAUCCAAUUUCAGUUGUAAAGUUCUAUUCGAUUUAUAUGAUUAAUCGAGAAAAGCGAUACAUCAGUGACUCUUA